rnacentral:rRNA from 2 species
ACGGGAGGCAGCAGUGGGGAAUAUUGGGCAAUGGACGAAAGUCUGACCCAGCGACGCCGCGUGAGGGAAGAAGGUCUUCGGAUUGUAAACCUCUGUUGACAGGGAAGAAGAAAGUGACGGUACCUGUCGAGGAAGCCACGGCUAACUACGUGCCAGCAGCCGCGGUAAUACGUAGGUGGCGAGCGUUAUCCGGAAUUACUGGGUGUAAAGGGUGUGUAGGUGGGACUGCAAGUCAGGUGUGAAAACUAUGAGCUCAACUCAUAGCCUGCACUUGAAACUGCAGUUCUUGAGUAUCGGAGAGGUAAAUGGAAUUCCCAGUGUAGCGGUGAAAUGCGUAGAUAUUGGGAAGAACACCGGAGGCGAAGGCGAUUUACUGGACGAAAACUGACACUGAGACACGAAAGCGUGGGGAGCAAACAGGAUUAGAUACCCUGGUA